rnacentral:rRNA from 1 species
UACGGGGGGGGCAAGCGUUGUUCGGAAUUACUGGGCGUAAAGGGCUCGUAGGUGGCCAACUAAGUCAGACGUGAAAUCCCUCGGCUUAACCGGGGAACUGCGUCUGAUACUGGAUGGCUUGAGAUUGGGAGAGGGAUGCGGAAUUCCAGGUGUAGCGGUGAAAUGCGUAGAUAUCUGGAGGAACACCGGUGGCGAAGGCGGCAUCCUGGACCGGUAUUGACGCUGAGGCGCGAAAGCUAGGGGAGCAAACGGG